rnacentral:rRNA from 1 species
CACGUAGGCACCAAGCGUUGUCCGGAUUUAUUGGGCGUAAAGAGCUCGUAGGCGGUUCAGUAAGUCGGGUGUGAAAACUUUGGGCUUAACCCAAAGCGUGCAUCCGAUACUGCUGUGACUUGAGUACGGUAGGGGAGCGGGGAAUUCCUAGUGUAGCGGUGAAAUGCGUAGAUAUUAGGAAGAACACCAGUGGCGAAGGCGGCUCACUGGUCCGGUACUGACGCUGAGGUGCGAAAGCGUGGGGAGCAAACAGG